rnacentral:lncRNA from 1 species
GUAACACCCCUAACCCCAAACCGUCGCCGGAACAGGGUUACGAGGCAUUACCGGACAUAUCAAACAAUUUACAAAUAAUUCUAAAUAAAUAAUCAACAUAUUAAAAUACUUCAUAAAUUGUUAUAAAUUUGUACUAAUUGAUUUCAUUCAUUUUUUUUUAAAUUUCGGCAGCAUUUCGACUUAUUUUUACAUUAAACCCCCUGCAAAAUUUCAAACAUAACCAACCCAAUUUCAGUAUUUCAACCAAGGCAUUUAUAUACUUAAUCCUACUUGACAUAUAGACAUAACAACUUAAGUAAAUAAAAUCCUAUUAUCAUUUCUAAUUAACACAUAAAACUAACUAAGCCAUUUCAACUUGAUACCAAUGCUAAAAAAAACUUAUACCAUUUUUCUAAUAUAAUCAUCAAAACACAUAAUAUCUUACUUUACAACAAAACUAUAUAACAUGCCAAAAUAACUAUUAUAAAUCCUAUGUACAUGCCACUUUCUCUUAAAAGAAGAAAACAUCACCAAAAUCUUUAUGUCGGAGUCGGGAUUGUCCUGGAUGCUGAACCGAGACACUAACCCCUUUUCAACCUGCGCACGGAAACAACCGUACGCUGAGUAUUUUAUACUCAGUGGUAUUACUAUAAAUUAAACUAUUUAAUAAUAAUAAAAUUUCAAAUAUUGACCAUAGUCUUAAAAAAAAAUUACUUUAAACUAAAUAUAAAUAUUCAUAUAUCAUUCCAUAAAUCUGAAAUUUAUAUAUUUAAAUAUUUACAUACUAAAUCAAUUCAUAAUUUAUAUCAUAAAUUCUUUCUCAUAUUUUUCAAUAGUGUCAAAUCAACUAAUCUCAUUUUCAAAUUUCCAUUUCAAUUAUUUACCCUAUUAACAAGGCUCGGACUCUGACAGAUACGCGGAUUCCACCCAAACACACCAAAAUAUCCAACCUAAACACACCCGAAAUAAUUUAAAUCCUUCAUAACACACCAGUAUAUCAUAACCUCCCAAACACACCAAUAAGGCAUUUAAUGCCUCUUCGGAUAAACCGAAGCAUUUAAUAACAUAGUCAUCUUCUCGGCCGAACUACAAAUCUCCUCAUCACAUCACAAAUCCUAUGGCAUGCCAUUUGUAUCCAAUCUAGUCCGAUAAGUUAAUAGGGUAUUAUUUUACUUUUCCUAUUUCGAAUUCAUUUCCACAACAAUUUCAAAUAUUCAAUCAAUACAAAACAUCUAUUAUUUCAAUUCACAUAUAAUUCAAUAUACACAUAUUCUUACUUAAUUUCGAAUGUUAAUACUUACCUUCCUUUAAAUGUCUCAUGAAUACAAUUUCAAUAUAGCAUUUAUUAAAUAGAUUAAGUUAUAGUAAUACAAACCCGGAAUACGCGUUUACUCCUCAACGAUCUUUUCUUUUCCUUUAGAUGCUGAUGCCUCGUUUUCCUUGUUAGCUACGAAAAUAAUAAUUAUUUUCACUUUUAAUUAUAAUCAUUAAAAUAAUAAUAAUAAUUAUUAUAUUAACAAUAAUAAUAAUAAUAAAAUUUUUAUUCAAUUCCUACUUAUUCCCAAUUUAAUUCUAACUAAGCUUACUUAUUUUUCUAACUUAAUUCACACUCUAUUUCUAUUCAAAUUCCUUCUAAAUCCAAAUUUAUCUACUAAUUUUUCAGCAUUUUUCACUAAUUUCGAAUUUUCCUCAAUUUAAUCCCUAAAAUUCAAAACUUAUAGUUUAAUUCACAAUUUAAUCCUUUUAUCAACUCUAACUAGAAACUCUAUCAAAUAAACCCUCAAUUCCAUCAUUUAUUCAACAUAAACCCCAAUUUAAGGCUUUUUAUAACUUAAUCCCAAUUAUGUAAAACUUACAACUUAGUUCACAAAUCAUUCUUUUUAUCUAUUCUAACUAAAAAUUCUAUCAACUAAACCCCUAAUUUAACAACUUGUUCAAAAUGAAUCAUGUUCAAAAACCUAUGAACUUCCAUAACCUCCACUUAACUUCAACAAAAUUUUGUUUUAAAGCUUUUAAAAUAUCAAAAUGAAGAGGAAAGGGCUAAAUUUAGCUUACCAAUUAACUUGAAGCUUUAAAUCCUUAGUUUUCCCUUUUAUUUUUCUUUCCCCUUUUCUUCCCCUGUUUUCGUCUCUUUCCGUGCUUCUUUUCUAGCUAUUCUGUUUCUUUUCUUCUUUGUUUCUUUCUUUCUUUUACUUUAUAUCUUUUAUUUUAACUAAUAAUAUAUUAAAAAAAAUCUUUUACUUAUUAAUUAAGCACAUAUUUAUUUUUAUUACAAGUGUACCCAUGUAAUUAUUACUAUUACACAUGUCUUCAAUAUAUACCAUACAUUUGUCAUCUUUUUUUUUUACUUAUAUAAUAUAAUACAAUAUAAUAUAAUAUAAUAUAAUAUAAAGCAUAAAAAUCUAAGAUUUUUAUCACUUUACCAUCUCAUUUCUUAUUAAUGGCUUAAUUGCCAUUUUAAUCCUUUUUUUAUUAAUCUAUAAUUCAACUUUUACCCCUAGAUCAAUUUUGUCCUUUUUUCUUAAUUUCUCUUAAUUAAACUAAAUUCACCCAAUUAAUACCUAAUUAAACACACAACUAGUCUAAUAAAUAUAUCUAAUAAUUAUUUUCGAACUCAAUUUACUAAGACGGAGGCCCGAUAAUGUACUUUUUCGGUGCUUGUGAAUUUUGGGUCAUUACAUUUCUCCCCCCUUAAUAAAUUUCGUCCUCGAAAUUUACCUGAGAAGAGAUGAGGAUAUUGUGCUCUCAUCGUCUCUUCUGGUUCCCAAGUCGCUUCUUCCACACUAUGGCUUCUCCAUAAGACUUUUACUAAAGGAACCCGUUUAUUUCUUAAUUCUUUCACUUCUCGUGCUAAUAUCUGAACCGGCUCUUCUUCAUAAGUUAAAUCAGGUCGAAUUUUAAUGUCUUCAGUGGGAAUAACAUGAGAAGGAUCCGAUCUAUAUCUCCGAAGCAUCGAAACAUGAAAAACAUCAUGAAUCCUUUGUAAUUCCGGAGGUAAAGCCAAUCGAUAGGCAACCGGUCCGAUUCUUUCCACAAUUUCAUACGGCCCAAUAAAACGUGGACUCAAUUUUCCUUUCCGACCAAAUCUUAAAAUUUUCUUCCAUGGCGAAACUUUGAGGAAUACCUUAUCACCAAUGGAAUAUUCAAUAUCUCGUCGUUUCAAAUCUGCGUAAGAUUUCUGUCUGUCGAAUGCGGCUUUCAGUCUAUCUUUAAUCUUUUUAACUGUUUCCUCUGUCUCUUGAAUCAAUUCUGGCCCAAUCACUUUUCUUUCUUUUAAUUCUGUCCAACAUACUGGUGAUCGACACCUUCGACCAUAUAGUGCUUCAUACGGAGCCAUCUGAAUACUAGAUUGGAAACUAUUAUUAUAAACAAAUUCUGCUAAUGGCAAAUAUCGUUCCCAACCUGACGUAAAGUCGAUAAUACAAGCUCUCAACAUAUCUUCCAAAAUCUGAAUUAUCCGCUCGGACUGUCCGUCAGUUUGUGGAUGAAAUGCAGUACUAAAAUUGAGCCGAGUUCCCAGUGAAUCAUGUAAUUGCCUCCAAAAUUUCGAUGUAAAUCGAGGGUCCCAAUCUGAGAUUAUCGAUACCGGAAUACCAUGUAAUCUAACAAUUUCCCGAAUAUAAACUUCGGCAGGCUUCUGUAGUGACCAAUCAAUUCUGACUGCUAUAAAGUGAGCAGACUUGGUAAGCCUAUCAACUAUCACCCAAAUAGCAUUCUUUUUGCUUGCUGACAACGGUAAUCCCGUAACAAAGUCCAUAGUAAUACAAUCCCAUUUCCACUCGGGGAUACUAAUAGGCUGAAGUAAACCUGUCGGUACCUGAUGUUCUGCUUUUACCCGUUGACAAGUCAGGCAUUUACCAACAUACUCGACUACAUCUUUCUUCAUCCCUGGCCACCAAUACAGUUCUCGUAGGUCACGAUACAUCUUCGUUCCACCUGGGUGCAAAGCAAAAAUACUAUUAUGUGCUUCUCGAAGAAUCAACUCUUUAAUCUCAGAAGUAGUUGGAACACAAAUUCGAUUCCGAAAUCUCAAACAAUCAUGCUCGUCAAUACUAAAAUUUUCCACCGUACCAAGCUGUACCAUUUCUCUUUUCUUCAUCAACUUUUCAUCUUUUAGCUGUGCUGCUCUGAUUUGAUCAAACAUUACUGGCUUGACUCUUAACUCAGCUAACAAACUUCCAUCAUCAUUAAUACUAAGCCGAGCAAACAUUGUCCGUAAUUCAACCGCUGCUUUCCUGCUCAAUGCAUCUGCUACCACAUUUGCCUUUCCUGGAUGAUAAUCUAUAACACAAUCAUAAUCUUUCAGAAGUUCUAUCCAUCGUCUCUGUCUCAGAUUCAACUCCUUUUGUGACAGAAGGUAUUUGAGACUUUUAUGAUCGAUAUAUAUGUAACAUUUUUCACCAUAAAGAUAAUGCCUCCAAAUCUUAAAUGCGAAAAUUACAGCAGCUAACUCCAAAUCGUGUGUCGGGUAGUUGCGUUCAUGUGGCUUCAACUGUCGAGAUGCAUAAGCUAUUACUUUUCCAUCUUGCAUCAAUACACAACCCAAACCAUUCAAAGAAGCAUCACUGUACACUAUGAAAUCUUUCCCCGAUUCUGGUAAAGUUAAAACCGGUGCCUCUGUCAACAUUUGUUUCAAUGUCUCAAAACUUCUCUGACACCGAUCAUCCCAGAUAAAAGGAACAUUCUUCUGUAGUAACUUGGUCAUCGGCAAAGCUAUCUUCGAAAACCCAUUUACAAAUCUUCUGUAAUACCCAGCCAAACCAAGAAAACUGCGUACCUCUGAUACAUUCUUUGGUGCCUUCCAUUGAAGAAUUGCCUCAAUCUUCUUCGAAUCAACUCUGAUUCCAUCUACCGAUACUACAUGUCCCAAAAAUACCACCUCUGAUAACCAGAAUUCACAUUUGCUGAGCUUUCCAUACAACUAUUUUUCUCACAAAAUCUGUAACACAGUUUUGAGAUGCUGAUCAUGCUCUAACUCUGACUUCGAAUAAACUAAUAUAUCAUCAAUGAAAACCACCACAAACUGAUCUAAAUACGGCUGAAAAAUACGGUUCAUCAGAUCCAUAAAAGCAGCUGGAGCAUUAGUCAAUCCGAACGGCAUCACCAAAAAUUCAUAAUGACCAUACCUUGUACGAAAAGCUGUCUUCGGCACAUCACUUUCUUUUACUUUCAACUGAUAAUACCCGGACCGCAAAUCAAUAUUUGAAAAUACCGAAGCUCCUUUUAGCUGAUCAAAUAAAUUAUCUAUACGAGGCAACGGAUACCGGUUCUUGAUUGUGACUUUGUUCAACUGCCGAUAAUCAAUACAAAGCCGCAUUGAUCCAUCUUUCUUUUUAACAAACAAUACCGGAGCUCCCCAAGGUGAAAUACUCGGUCUAAUAAAUCCACGAUCUAGCAAGUCCUGCAACUGCACCUUCAACUCUUUUAAUUCAGUGGGCGACAUUCGGUACGGAGGUAUAGAGAUUGGUGCUGUACUCGGGUACACUUCUAUAGCAAAUUCAACCUCUCUGUCAGGUGGUAAGCUCGGUAGUUCUUCAGGAAAUACAUCUGGAAACUCACAUACAGUUCUGAUCUGACUACACUGACUACCCACCAAAUCAAAAUUAAUAACAUAAGCUAGAUAUGCUGUACAACCCUGUCGAAGCAAUUUACUAGCCUUGAUUGCUGAAAUAAUACGUGUCGAUCGACUAGUACGAAUACCAUUCACCUCAAUUCUGUCUCCAUCCUCUGUCUGAAUACCGAACCUCUUUUUGUAACAAUCUAAAAUCACCCCGUAUUCAGAUAACCAAUCCAUCCCCAGUAUUAUAUCAAAAUCCCCAAAUGGCAUAAUCAACAAGUCAACGGAAAACAUUUUAUCAUGUAUCAUCAACGGGCAUCUCCGACAUACUCUAUCUACAGACACAGUUUGUCCCAAAGGGCUAGACACUUCUAUUAAAAUUCUAGACAUUUCAGAUUUUAACUUUCUCAGUUCAACCAGUUUUGAAUUUAUAUAAGAGUGUGAAGAUCCGGGAUCAAUUAAAGCAUAAACAGGUUCAGAAUAUAGUAAGAAUAUACCUGUUACUACAUCAUGGGCGUCGCCUUCUUCCCGUGUUCUGACAACAUAAGCUCUGGCGGGUACUUUCACUUCAGACUGUUGAGUAGCUAUAUCACUGCUCCUCCUAAUAUUUCCUCCCCUUGAGAGUGAACUACCUCUACCUGACCCUCUGCCUCUAGCAGUAGAUACUGAUCUCUGAGAUGCUGCAGGUAAAGCACCUUCAUUUUUUUGACAAUCCCGGAUGAAAUGAUCUGUAGACCCGCAUCGAAAACAUCGUCGAGUUAUCAUCCAACAUUCGCCCAAAUGCUUCUUUCCACAGUGUUCACAGUCGGGGAUAUCAAUAUUUCGUGAAGGUCCUUUUACACUACCGGUAGAAACAGCAGUCUGUUUGCCUCGAUUUUUAUCUCCUCGAUCUGAUCUGAAACUUGACUUCCAACUAUCUCUGAAUUCUCGGGAUCUUUUCGGUAGAGGACUUGAAAUAGUAAUGCCAGCUCGUUUCCCAGUCGAUCUAGCUAUCUCAGGCUUUUUAUCCAAACCCAACACCUGCUCAACCAUCUUUGCUCUCUCUACUAAAUCUACAAAUUCUGUAAUUCGAUGUGACACCAGCUGUACCCUGAUCUCAUCUCUCAAACCCCGAAGAAACCUUUUACAACUAUCAGCCUCUGUCGGUAUAAACUCAGAAGCAUAUCGGCUGAGUCUGGAAAAUUCACGUUCAUAAUCUACAACAGACAGGUUACCUUGUUUCAACAUCAAAAACUCCUGCCUCUUAUCUUCAAUAUACAGCUCCCCAACAUAUUUCUUCUGAAAUUCUUUUUGAAAUAAAUCUCAUGUCACCUGUUCUGUAGGCAGAUGUUGUAUUACAGAUUCCCACCACAAAUAGGCUUCUCCUUGCAGUAGAGAAAUAGCACAGAUCAAGCUCUCUCGGGGGGUACAUUCUAAUUGCUGCAGAACUCGUUUAGUUGAUUCCAUCCAAUUCUCUGCAGUGAAUGGAUCAAUUCCCUUCAAACCCAAAAAUUCAGUAGCACCGUAUUUUCGUAAUUCUUUGAUUGGGGCCCGUCUAGUAGUAGGAGUAGAUAUCGUAGCAGGUACAGUUCCCGCUACUCGUUGCAAAGCAUCAGCUAUAAUUCUCAGUAAAUGGGAGUCAUCUCUGUCUCUAACAUUUUCCCGUUCUAUAUUAGGUUGGUUACCUAAUGGAUUUACACUCGGUGUAGCUGAUUCUGUUUCAUCCAAUUCUCUAUCUCUGAUAUACAUUUCUUGAUCUACAUCUUCCACGUGUUCAUUCGACAUUUUAACUAUAAAACAAAACAAAUAAUUAUAUCAGCAUCCAAAAAUCCCGACUCAGUUUGACUCGAUUGUGGCAUGUACAUCUAAACUCAAUUCUGAGCCCGAUUUAGUCCGAGAAUCGACUAAACCCGAUAGCUCUGAUACCAUAAAAUGUAACACCCCUAACCCCAAACUGUCACCGAAACAGGGUUACGAGGCAUUACCGGACAUAUCAAACAAUUUACAAAUAAUUCUAAAUAAAUAACCAACAUAUUAAAAUACUUCAUAAAUUGUUAUAAAUUUGUACUAAUUGAUUUCAUUCAUUUUUUUUUAAAAUUUCGGCAGCAUUUCGACUUAUUUUUACAUUAAACCCCCUGCAAAAUUUCAAACAUAACCAACCCAAUUUCAGUAUUUCAACCAAGGCAUUUAUAUACUUAAUCCUACUUGACAUAUAGACAUAACAACUUAAGUAAAUAAAAUCCUAUUAUCAUUUCUAAUUAACACAUAAAACUAACUAAGCCAUUUCAACUUGAUACCAAUGCUAAAAAAAACUUAUACCAUUUUUCUAAUAUAAUCAUCAAAACUCAUAAUAUCUUACUUUACAACAAAACUAUAUAACAUGCCAAAAUAACUAUUAUAAAUCCUAUGUACAUGCCACUUUCUCUUAAAGGAAGAAAACAUCACCAAAAUCUUUAUGUCGGAGUCGGGAUUGUCCUGGAUGCUGAACCGAGACACUAACCCCUUUUCAACCUGCGCACGGAAACAACCGUACGCUGAGUAUUUUAUACUCAGUGGUAUUACUAUAAAUUAAACUAUUUAAUAAUAAUAAAAUUUCAAAUAUUGACCAUAGUCUUUAAAAAAAAUCACUUUAAACUAAAUAUAAAUAUUCAUAUAUCAUUCCAUAAAUCUGAAAUUUAUAUAUUUAAAUAUUUACAUACUAAAUCAAUUCAUAAUUUAUAUCAUACAUUCUUUCUCAUAUUUUUCAAUAGUGUCAAAUCAACUAAUCUCAUUUUCAAAUUUCCAUUUCAAUUAUUUACCCUAUUAACAAGGCUCGGACUCUGACAGAUACGCGGAUUCCACCCAAACACACCAAAAUAUCCAACCUAAACACACCCGAAAUAAUUUAAAUCCUUCAUAACACACCAGUAUAUCAUAACCUCCCAAACACACCAAUAAGGCAUUUAAUGCCUCUUCGGAUAAACCGAAGCAUUUAAUAACAUAGUCAUCUUCUCGGCCGAACUACAAAUCUCCUCAUCACAUCACAAAUCCUAUGGCAUGCCAUUUGUAUCCAAUCUAGUCCGAUAAGUUAAUAGGGUAUUAUUUUACUUUUCCUAUUUCGAAUUCAUUUCCACAACAAUUUCAAAUAUUCAAUCAAUACAAAACAUCUAUUAUUUCAAUUCACAUAUAAUUCAAUAUACACAUAUUCUUACUUAAUUUCGAAUGUUAAUACUUACCUUCCUUUAAAUGUCUCAUGAAUACAAUUUCAAUAUAGCAUUUAUUAAAUAGAUUAAGUUAUAGUAAUACAAACCCGGAAUACGCGUUUACUCCUCAACGAUCUUUUCUUUUCUUUUAGAUGCUGAUGCCUCGUUUUCCUUGUUAGCUACGAAAAUAAUAAUUAUUUUUACUUUUAAUUAUAAUCAUUAAAAUAAUAAUUAUUAUUAUAUUAACAAUAAUAAUAAUAAUAAAAUUUUUAUUCAAUUCCUACUUAUUCCCAAUUUAAUUCUAACUAAGCUUACUUAUUUUUCUAACUUAAUUCACACUCUAUUUCUAUUCAAAUUCCUUCUAAAUCCAAAUUUAUCUACUAAUUUUUCAGCAUUUUUCACUAAUUUCAAAUUUUCCUCAAUUUAAUCCCUAAAAUUCAAAACUUAUAGUUUAGUUCACAAUUUAAUCCUUUUAUCAACUCUAACUAGAAACUCUAUCAAAUAAACCCUCAAUUCCAUCAUUUAUUCAACAUAAACCCCAAUUUAAGGCUUUUUAUAACUUAAUCCCAAUUAUGUAAAACUUACAACUUAGUUCACAAAUCAUUCUUUUUAUCUAUUCUAACUAAAAAUUCUAUCAACUAAACCUCUAAUUUAACAACUUGUUCAAAAUGAAUCAUGUUCAAAAACCUAUGAACUUCCAUAACCUCCACUUAACUUCAACAAAAUUUUGUUUUAAAGCUUUUAAAAUAUCAAAAUGAAGAGGAAAGGGCUAAAUUUAGCUUACCAAUUAACUUGAAGCUUUAAAUCCUUAGUUUUCCCUUUUAUUUUUCUUUCCCCUUUUCUUCCCCUGUUUUCGUCUCUUUCCGUGCUUCUUUUCUAGCUAUUCUGUUUCUUUUCUUCUUUGUUUCUUUCUUUCUUU